AGACCAAACUACUUCGGAGCAACCGUAUUCACCCCGUCAUCUGAGGCAGAGGAACCAAGGAAAGUCAGGACAUCAUCCGAAUACUGCCAUUCUAGGAAAAAGGUUAAAGGUAUACAUCGAGAGGACGCAUUUCGGCCCGUCCAGCCUUCAUCAGCUACUACAGAAAUGUGAUACACAGUCUAUAAUCACAGUUACAAAAGCCACGUGAAGUGACAUCAAACGCCCAAACGGAGCGCUGUUAACAAGACACAAACCUGAUAGAACCAAGUUUGUAGGAAGAACACAUGGAAUCAGGGCAAAACAUAGGAAGAGAAUGUGAGUUCUGUCUCUGAACAAUCCUUAGUAUAUCAUCACAUCAAGGAAGGAUACCGCAAACUUGUAAUGGAUCCAUAUAUCCAGAGUAUGUUACCUGGAGGAAGCUGCCUGAAAAGAAGUAUAUAACAAAAUAAAAUAAAUAUCACUUUACGUCAAA